UACGUAGGGAGCAAGCGUUGUCCGGAAUCAUUGGGCGUAAAGCGCGCGUAGGCGGCCCUGUAAGUCCGUUGUGAAAGUCAAAGGCUCAACCUUUGAAAGCCGAUGGAUACUGCAGGGCUAGAGUCCGGAAGAGGCGAGUGGAAUUCCCAGUGUAGAGGUGAAAUUCGUAGAUAUUGGGAAGAACACCGGUGGCGAAGGCGGCGAGCUGGUCCAUUACUGACGCUGAGGCGCGACAGCGUGGGGAGCAAACAGG
rnacentral:rRNA from 1 species